ensembl:snRNA U6 U6 spliceosomal RNA
AUGCUCACCUCAGCAGCAUAUAUACUAAAAUUGAAAUGAUACAGAGAAGAUUAGCAUGCAAGGAUGAAUUGCAAAUUUGUGAAGUGCUCCGUAUUUUU